rnacentral:snRNA from 1 species
GGAUGUGAGGGUGAUCUGGCUAUGACAUGUUACCCCAUUGAUUGCAAAGGAUUCAUUCGGUUGAUCUGGCUGGCUAGGUGGAUGUCCCCUUCCUCCCUCACCGCUCCAUGUGUGUCUCUCCCCGUGCACUCAGUCCAAAGAGGAUAGCCUUCCCCAAUAGAGACGGACCUUUCUUAGGUCGAGGGAAUAUGAGUAGCUGCACUCCCUGGCUAGAAACUCCAAACAAGCUCUCAAGAUAAAAAAAAAAAAAAUGUUCAAAAUCUCCCUCUAUUCCUACACACAUACCCAAUAUGGUGUGUUGU